UACGAAGGGGGCUAGCGUUGUUCGGAAUUACUGGGCGUAAAGCGCGCGCAGGCGGCUAUCCAAGUCAGUGGUGAAAGCCCGGAGCUUAACUCCGGAACUGCCAUUGAAACUGUUUAGCUUGAGUAUGAGAGAGGUGAGUGGAAUUCCCAGUGUAGAGGUGAAAUUCGUAGAUAUCAGGAGGAACACCGGUGGCGAAGGCGGCCAUCUGGACGACAACUGACGCUGAGGCGCGAAAGCGUGGGGAUCAAACAGG
rnacentral:rRNA from 1 species